rnacentral:rRNA from 1 species
AUACGAAGGGUGCAAGCGUUACUCGGAAUUACUGGGCGUAAAGCGUGCGUAGGUGGUUGUUUAAGUCUGUCGUGAAAGCCCUGGGCUCAACCUGGGAAUGGCGAUGGAAACUGGGCGACUAGAGUGUGGCCGAGGGUAGUGGAAUUCCUGGUGUAGCAGUGAAAUGCGUAGAGAUUAGGAGGAACAUACGUGGCGAAGGCGUCUGCCUGGGCCAACACUGACACUGAGGCACGAAAGCGUGGGGAGCAAACAGGAUUAGAUACCCUGGUAGUCCACGCCCUAAACGAUGCGAACUGGAUGUUGGGUGCAAUUUGGCACGCAGUAUCGAAGCUAACGCGUUAAGUUCGCCGCCUGGGGAGUACGGUCGCAAGACUGAAACUCAAAUGAAUUGACGGGG